GAUGAACGCUGGCGGCGUGCCUAAUUCAUGCAAGUCGAGCGAACAGAUGAGGAGCUUGCUCCUCUGACGUUAGCGGCGGACGGGUGAGUAACACGUGGAUAACCUACCUAUAAGACUGGGAUAACUUCGGGAAACCGGAGCUAAUACCGGAUAAUAUAUUGAACCGCAUGGUUCAAUAGUGAAAGACGGUUUUGCUGUCACUUAUAGAUGGAUCCGCGCCGCAUUAGCUAGUUGGUAAGGUAACGGCUUACCAAGGCGACGAUGCGUAGCCGACCUGAGAGGGUGAUCGGCCACACUGGAACUGAGACACGGUCCAGACUCCUACGGGAGGCAGCAGUAGGGAAUCUUCCGCAAUGGGCGAAAGCCUGACGGAGCAACGCCGCGUGAGUGAUGAAGGUCUUCGGAUCGUAAAACUCUGUUAUUAGGGAAGAACAAAUGUGUAAGUAACUAUGCACGUCUUGACGGUACCUAAUCAGAAAGCCACGGCUAACUACGUG
rnacentral:rRNA from 1 species